CUAUUACUCGCCCUGAGGUGGAAGGGGGGAGACUCUUUAAAGUGCGUCAGAGGGAGGUGAGCGCCUGGGAACCCGGAGGCCUGGAUCCCGGCCGAGUGGAACGGAGUCGGCGCCGCCGCCUCGGCCGAGCCUUCCGCCGCCCGCCGGGCCGCCCGACUUCUCCGCGCCUUCGCCCCUCGCUCCCAGCUCACUCGCUCCUGCGACGCCCGCUGCGGCUUCUCCUCCUCCUCCUCCUUCGCCUCCUCCUCUUCCUCCGGUUUCUUCUUCUUCUCCUCCUCCUCUUCUUCCUCCUCCUCCUCCUCCUCUUCUUCCUCCUCCUCUUUCCCCACCUACUCCCCCUCAGCCACCGCCUCCUCCUCCACCAGCACCACUCCCUCCGGGGCACCCCGGUCCCUGCAGAGUCCCUGGCCGGCGCCGCCUCCGCUGCGGCCCCCUGAAUCCGGAGCCUGCUGCGCCCAAGCUGGUAGGACAGACGGACAAACAGAUUCCUUUCGCCUAGCGCUCCUUACGCGGCCCUGCGUCGGGGGAACUGGGAUCGUCCCAGGAGCACCGCGAGGGUUGCCGUGAGACCUGGGAGAAGCCGAUGGGAAUGGGGGGAGAAGAGUGAAGUCCACCGUGAGCCAGGCUGCACUGCCACCAGAAGCAUAGUUGAGGGGACAGGUCUCAGGACAAGCUACCUGCUUCCUCCCUUGGUUUCAUCUACUGUAUAUUUAUGUUUGUGUCAAUUACUCCUUUAUUCCAAAUAAAAUGUUGUGUUGGGGCAGGUGUCCAAAAACCUCUUUUGGGAAACCAGGCAAGAGAGGAG
rnacentral:lncRNA from 1 species